AUGGUGCUGGGAUACCCACCGGUGGAGGCCCAGGGCAUUGCGGACCGGCUUAAUUGCCGCCUGGGUUAUUUCCCCACGACCUAUCUGGGGAUCCCCAUUAGUGACUCUCGCCUCACCGUAGCGGACCUCCGCCCUUCCGUGACCCGGAUGCAACACUGAGUCAAGCCCUGGAAGGGCCGGUGGCUCUCGAAGGCGGCGCGGGUAAUCCUCAUCAACUCCUCGCUGGCUAGCCUUCUCUGGUUCCUCAUGAUCUUCUAUAGACUCCAUGAGACGCUUCACCAGGAGGUGGCCAAAUAUCAGUCCAGAUUUUACUGGGCUGGCGAGGGGGACAAG
rnacentral:rRNA from 1 species